GAUGAACGCUGGCGGCGUGCCUAACACAUGCAAGUCGAACGGAAACAGUUAAGAAAGCCUUCGGGCCAGAAGAGCUGUUUUAGUGGCGGACGGGUGAGUAACGCGUGGGUAACCUGCCCUGUACCGGGGGAUAACGGCCGGAAACGGCCGCUAAUACCGCAUAAGCACAAGAGCUCGCAUGAGAGCUUGUGGAAAACUCCGGUGGUAUGGGAUGGACCCGCGUCUGAUUAGAUAGUUGGUAGGGUAGAGGCCUACCAAGUCAACGAUCAGUAGCCGGCCUGAGAGGGUGAUCGGCCACAUUGGGACUGAGACACGGCCCAAACUCCUGCGGGAGGCAGCAGUGGGGAAUCUUGCACAAUGGGGGAAACCCUGAUGCAGCGACGCCGCGUGAAGGAAGAAGUAUCUCGGUAUGUAAACUUCUAUCAGCAGGGAAGAAAAUGACGGUACCUGACUAAGAAGCCCCGGCUAACUACGUGCCAGCCGCCGCCGUAAAAC
rnacentral:rRNA from 1 species